CGGGAAGAGCUCAAAUUUAUAAUCUGGCACCUUCGGUGUCCGAGUUGUAAUCUCUAGAAGUGUUUUCCGCGUUGGACCGCGCAUAAGUCUGUUGGAAUACAGCGGCACAGUGGUGAGACCCCCGUAUGUGGUGCGGACGCCCAGCGCUUUGUGAUACACUUUCGAAGAGUCGAGUUGUUUGGGAAUGCAGCUCAAAUUGGGUGGUAAAUUCCAUCUAAAGCUAAAUAUUGGCGAGAGACCGAUAGCGAACAAGUACCGUGAGGGAAAGAUGAAAAGCACUUUGGAAAGAGAGUUAACAGUACGUGAAAUUGUUGGAAGGGAAACGCUUGAAGUCAGACUUGCUUGCCGGGCAACCGGUUUGCAGGCCAGCAUCAGUUUUCCGGGGUGGAUAAUGGUAGAGAGAAGGUAGCAGUUUCGGCUGUGUUAUAGCUCUCUACUGGAUACACCUUGGGGGACUGAGGAACGCAGUGUGCCUUACGGCGGAGGUUUCGACCUCUUCACACUUAGGAUGCUGGUGGAAUGGCUUUAAACGAC
rnacentral:rRNA from 1 species